rnacentral:rRNA from 1 species
GACGAACGCUGGCGGCGUGCUUAACACAUGCCAGUCGAACGAAGAGCGACGGAAGCUUGCUUCUAUCAAUCUUAGUGGCGAACGGGUGAGUAACGCGUAAUCAACCUGCCCUUCAGAGGGGGACAACAGUUGGAAACGACUGCUAAUACCGCAUACGAUCUAACCUCGGCAUCGAGGAUAGAUGAAAGGUGGCCUCUACAUGUAAGCUAUCACUGAAGGAGGGGAUUGCGUCUGAUUAGCUAGUUGGAGGGGUAACGGCCCACCAAGGCUAUGAUCAGUAGCCGGUCUGAGAGGAUGAACGGCCACAUUGGGACUGAGACACGGCCCAGACUCCUACGGGAGGCAGCAGUGGGGAAUCUUCCGCAAUGGACGAAAGUCUGACGGAGCAACGCCGCGUGAGUGAUGACGGCCUUCGGGUUGUAAAGCUCUGUUAAUCGGGACGAAAGGCCUUCUUGCGAAUAGUGAGAAGGAUUGACGGUACCGGAAUAGAAAGCCACGGCUAACUACGUG